UGGGGAAUAUUGGACAAUGGGGGGAACCCUGAUCCAGCCAUGCCGCGUGCGUGAAGAAGGCCUUAUGGUUGUAAAGCACUUUAAGCGAGGAGGAGGCUACUGAGACUAAUACUCUUGGGUAGUGGACGUUACUCGCAGAAUAAGCACCGGCUAACUCUGUGCCAGCAGCCGCGGUAAUACAGAGGGUGCGAGCGUUAAUCGGAUUUACUGGGCGUAAAGCGUGCGUAGGCGGCUUUUUAAGUCGGAUGUGAAAUCCCCGAGCUUAACUUGGGAAUUGCAUUCGAUACUGGGAAGCUAGAGUAUGGGAGAGGAUGGUAGAAUUCCAGGUGUAGCGGUGAAAUGCGUAGAGAUCUGGAGGAAUACCGAUGGCGAAGGCAGCCAUCUGGCCUAAUACUGACGCUGAGGUACGAAAAGCAUGGGGAGCAAACAGGAUUAGAUACCCUGGUAGUCCAUGCCGUAAACGAUGUCUACUAGCCGUUGGGGCCUUUGAGGCUUUAGUGGCGCAGCUAACGCGAUAAGUAGACCGCCUGGGGAGUACGGUCGCAAGACUAAAAACUCAAAGGAAUUGACGGGGGUCAUAGCUGUUUCCUG
rnacentral:rRNA from 1 species